GUGCUGACGAGUGGCGAACGGGUGAGUAAUGCAUCGGAACGUGCCCAGUCGUGGGGGAUAACUGCUCGAAAGAGCAGCUAAUACCGCAUACGAUCUGCGGAUGAAAGCGGGGGACCUUCGGGCCUCGCGCGAUUGGAGCGGCCGAUGUCAGAUUAGGUAGUUGGUGGGGUAAAGGCUCACCAAGCCGACGAUCUGUAGCUGGUCUGAGAGGACGACCAGCCACACUGGGACUGAGACACGGCCCAGACUCCUACGGGAGGCAGCAGUGGGGGAUUUUGGACAAUGGGCGCAAGCCUGAUCCAGCAAUGCCGCGUGCAGGAAGAAGGCCUUCGGGUUGUAAACUGCUUUUGUACGGAACGAAAAGCUCUGGGCUAAUACCCUGGGGUGAUGACGGUACCGUAAGAAUAAGCACCGGCUAACUACGUGCCAGCAGCCGCGGUAAUACGUAGGGUGCGAGCGUUAAUCGGAAUUACUGGGCGUAAAGCGUGCGCAGGCGGUUCGCUAAGACAGGUGUGAAAUCCCCGGGCUUAACCUGGGAACUGCGCUUGUGACUGGCGGGCUAGAGUACGGCAGAGGGGGGUGGAAUUCCACGUGUAGCAGUGAAAUGCGUAGAUAUGUGGAGGAACACCGAUGGCGAAGGCAGCCCCCUGGGCCUGUACUGACGCUCAUGCACGAAAGCGUGGGGAGCAAACAGGAUUAGAUACCCUUGUAGUCCACGCCCUAAACGAUGUCAACUAGUCGUUCGGAGCGGUAACGCACUGAGUGACGCAGCUAACGCGUGAAGUUGACCGCCUGGGGAG
rnacentral:rRNA from 1 species